CACCAGUUUUUCCUGGUGUUUAAAAUCAUUCUCCUUAUGUACAGAAGCUUUAGUCCUAAGGGGCAGAAACUAUGAGUUUGAUUCCAACUUGCAGGCCUGCUGCACCUUACUAGAUGUUAUUUCCUUCUCUUUCCUAGUUUCUUACUCUAUCCACUGUCCGAUCCUCUCAAAAAAGCAUAAAAUCCCCAAAUGAACAAACAAACAAAGAAAAGGUUAAAUAACAGUGAAAGCACACUUGUAUAAUGUUUAGUUUUUUUUUAGAUGUUAUAUGUCAGUGCUGUACAGAUCACGUCAGUCCUGCUUUGAGCAACUCUUCAGAGUGCUUCUCAAGAAGGCUUCACAUUUAAAUAUCGACUCCUAUUUUCUAACUUUCAAUAUGUAGCUGCAAGCCUAUUUUUUUUAUAAUAAAGCAGCUCUAGCAGAGAAAUGCUGGUAGAGUAUUUGCUUGACAUGAAGAAGCACUGAUUUAACAAUAACCAUAUUUGGUGAAGUGGGUGAAAUUAGAUUUCCUUGCUGCACAAAAAAUACAAAAGUCAGGAGUGUAUGGUCACCUCCUCUCAUUGAAUUUGCACUGAUGUGACUGGAGAGAAUUAAAAGUAGUUUAAUUACAUUUUACAGUUAGAGUUUGUGUAUUACGUGUACCCACAUUUUCAGGAGCAGUUUUCUGGAAAAACUUGGAAUAAGCAUAACUUGACUGUCAGGGAGUCCUUUCAUUUUCACGUCUCUUAACAACAAGAUGGAUCUGAAUGUUUUUCUGUGUUCAUCUCCAUGAAUUAAAAGUGGUUGCAGA